GUCACAGGUCAGAGUCCUCACCUUGUUUCUGCUCGAUUGAGGCUCCGAACCCUGGUGCACCUUUUUGAGAAAGUAAGAGCAAGAGGAACCACAGCUGUCUCCCAUCAGUCCUCCCGGGACAAGAAAAUGUAUAAUUAUGACUACCUGGUCCACUAAAAUGCUAUUUUGAGAAAAAUUGUGCAUUCAUUUUAUCUGGAUCCUUCAGGAAAAUGAAACUCAGCUUGUUUUGGAUAAUCCCCACUUACAUGAAAUGCCCAAGUAUGGAUCAAAAUAAUAAAAUUAAUCCGCAGAUGAUUGUAAGUCAAACCUAAUGUGUAACAUCUGUCAUCCUCACUGAUAUUUACGGUAAUUACUUCCAGACUUCAAGGUUUGUGCUGCAGUGUUAAUGGAAAUUUUAUUUGAGCAACUGAAUUGCUAAAGUCUCUUAUGAUUACAAGUAAUAAAAAUCCACAGAAACUAGCUUAGGCAACAAAAAAGGGAGGCAUUUAUUAUAGGUAUAAUAAUUUUGUUUAUAGGUAAAAAAUACAAAUGCUAGCUUAAAUGUAGAGGAAUGGUUAUUAUAAGGCUAUACGGUUGGUUCAUGGAAUGCAAAGGCAAGGAUGGAUCCAGAACUCAGAUAUAGACCAAAAUGAAGGACUAAUGUGCUUCAAAGUAGUGCUUUUCAACUUUUAAUGUGCAUACGAUUUGCCAGGAAAUCUGGUUCAAUUUAUCUUCCAUUUCAUUAGUCUGUGUACGACCUGGAGUUGACUUUUCCAAUAAGUUUCCAAUUGAUAGUCCCUGAAAAUCACAGUCCACACUGAGUAGCAAAGGUCUAGAAAGCCAAGGAAUUCUCCUGCUUUUUCCUACCAUCUAAAUUUCAGUUUAGAUCAUUCCUUCAAUCUCUUCUCCCCUUAAACACUGAUUUUCUGUUAUCUAGAGAAGGCAGUUCUUAGAAAAUCAAUUAUAUUCUAUCUCAAGACUUUGGGAUAUUGAACAAUAAAACACAGAGUUUGGGGAUAAUUAGAGCUGAGAUAAAUAGGUGAUGAUUCCAAUAGGCUAGAAAGACCACAAAGCGUAGGUACAGAUUUUCUUACUUUGAGGAAGUUUAGACCUUACAUCAAUCAACUAUGUUCAGCUACACAAUGACAGGUGGUACAGACAUGGCUGUUAAAGGAUCAUCCUUAUAAUUUGGGAGUAGAUCUCAGAAAAGCAAUAAUUAUCCAGAGCUGAGAAAUUUCUUUGUUUUAAUUGAAGUAUAACGGACUUACAGUAUCUCGUAAGUUUCAGGUGUACAUUAUACUGAUUGACUAUUUAUACAUAUCACUAUGAUGUCUAGUUACCAUCUGUCACCAUAUAAAAUUAUUACAAUGUUAUUGACUAUUUUCCCUGUGUUGUUUAUUACAUACCAAUGACUUAUUUAUUGUAUAAUUGGAAGUUUAUGCCUUUUAAUCCUCUUUGCCUAUUUCACCCAUUCCCCACCCAAAUGCCCACCCCUCUGGUAACCACAAGUUUGUAUCUAUGCAUCUGUUUCUGUUUUGUUUUGUUUGUUCAAUUGUUUUGUUUUUUUAUAGUCUACAUAUAAGUGAAGUCAUACAGUAUUUGUUUUUCUUUGUCUGACUUAUUUCUCUGGGUAUUUAUCUGAAAAAAACAAAAACAUUAAUUCGAAGAGAUAUAUGCACCUUUAUGUUCAUUGCAG
ensembl:lncRNA